AGAAGAGCAUCCAGACUCUAAUUGAAGUAUCCGCAUGUUUCCUCGGCGGGCCUUCGUCUUUUAAAGAUGAGCCAAACACACGGACGAGGUCGCUCAAUAUGGAAGAGAUUUACCGCUGAAAAGAAGAGCUGCGAGGACAGGAACUUGACGCAAGUCCUAUAAAUGUGCUGUGACCUUCACCGCGACGAGGGGCGGAAACUCUUCAAAGCUGAGGUACGAAUUUAACUUUUGCAAUUUGGAGAAAAAACACCAGAGGACAAAUGUUAAUGUUUUAUCACCCUGACCAAGGGAGUGACUUUUCUGUGUUUGUUUUUAAGGGCAGAGGUUAUAUCACGACAAAAACAUGGAACUUUCAUUAUUUUCAUACUUUUAUUCAGAUUUAACUGCGAUUUUUAAUGUAUAUUUACAUAAUCAGAUAAAAUUUACAAGUCUUAAAGGGAUAUUCAGCUGUAAAACUAACCAAAACGCCAAUUUAUAGCCACAAAUAAUGUUCAGAACAGCAUCUAACUUCAUUACGGACUACAGCGGAGUUUCGCAGCUCAAGGAAGAACAUUUAUGAUCAUUUCUUUAUCAUUUCCUUGAAGUAAUAAUCAUCUUAAUCAUUAUCACUGCAGACCCGGUAGUUCUUCUGCCUUAGCAUCUCGGUCUGAUUGUAUUUCCAUAAAGAAAUGAUCAUAAAUGUUCUUCCUUGAGCUGCGAAACCCCGCUGUAGUCCAUAAUGGACUGGCCUGAGGUCUCACUACAAACAAGCGUCUGCUGGAAGAGAGUAGGUGAGUUGUGUUUAGUCAUUUGUGGUGGUUGGUUGAGGUUUGUUUAUAGCUCCUCAGACCGCUGUGUAUUGCUAUCAUGCGGUCGUUACUAAAAUUGGUAUAACUAGAGAAGCAACAUUCAUUUCUCGACGGGGUGUCUGACUCAGUGUUGUGGUGUGUUUGACCCUAAAUUAAUUUUUCGCCGGAAUAUCCCUUUAGUAAUUAAAAGUUUUUUUCUAAGGGUUCAGGUUCUGACCAACAGUCUGUUUCAUGUUACUGAGUUUGUACGAAGAUGUCUAAAGAAAUAAAACCUUUUAGUGCAGUUCCCAGAGUGUCCACUAGAGGCUGGCUGCAGAAGCACCAGAACCCACAUACACACUCAUUCAAAAAAGUGCAUUUUUACAUCAAAGUUAAACGUAUUUACAGCCUGGUGCAGAGAACAGUUUUGGUUUCAAGUUACCUCAGAAGUCAGAUGUCGGAACUAAAAAUGACGUCACACUCAAGUUACCAAGUUGGAAAUAAGCAAAAUUGGAAACAAGAUGGCUACAUCUAUGAAAGUUAUCAAUGCUUGCCUGCUCCGAAUAUAAGGCAAGCGCUAAAAUAACGUUCAUAGAUCCAUCAUGUUUCAGGCCUCCAAUUUUGCUUUUUUCUGACUUGGUAACUCGAACGCAGCAUUUGGAUACGAGAUCGGCCAAUCAGAGGAUUUAUCUUUUAAUAUUUUAAAAUUUAGAGAUUUACUUCAAAAAUCCAUUUUUGUGUGUCGUACCUGAAUCAGUCUGAACGUGUUAAAUAUUAAUUAAAAAGUCUUUUAUCCUUUCCUCUCUUUCUGUUCGCUUCUUUUCACGUCACCCUCCUCUCUUUAUUUCUGAUCUCAUCCUGACCCGCAGAGGUGAGAGGUCUUCAGAGGUCAUCACGGGGUUACCAGAGGUCGCCGAUGUCACGGCGGCGCUGUGAGGAGAGGACCACACACUCUUACCAUCGAGGUAUCUCAUCUUCUAUCAGCUCUGUCAGUCCUCACACACACACACACAUAUCUGCUCAUCUUUUUUGCAUGUGUGUGUGUGUGUGUGUGUGUGUGUGUGUGUGUGUGUGUGUGUGAUGCUCCAGUUUGAUUGUGCGUUUUGUUGGACGAGGAAGAGAUGAGCAGCAAAGUUUAGAAACAGGAAGUCUCUGUUUGACGCCGCAGAAAAACUUCCUUCAAACACGAAUCAAACAGAGAAGAGAGGAAGAGGCCUUCUCUGCUUCCUUGUUUCCUUUCCUUCCUCGCCUCCUCAUUCUGAUAUGAGCGGCGACGGCAGACAAAACAAACUUCAGUCACUUCCUUUAGCUUAUUUAGGUUUCAAUCUAGAUCACAGCUGAUCUAGAUUGAAAUAUCGAUCGGUCUGAUUCACGCCGGCGUCGAGGUCGCGGUUUGCACGCCGCCGUCUCUUCCUGUUUCGAACAGUUUGCAUGACUUUCUUGUGUGAGAGAUAGAGACGGUUAAAUAAUCGUUCCAUCAGAUAAACUUCUCUUCCUCCACAAACGGAUGAUAAAGAGACGACUUCAAAGGUUUUAGAAACACGAUCGGCGUUUAAAAAACACGCUUUAAAACUUUAAACGUUAUCCUGAGAAACCGCCGCUUACAUAUGUGUGUGUGUGUGAGACGAUGCUACUGAACACACACGCUCCCUCACGGCGGCCUAAUGAAGACGAAUGAGACAGCACACACACUUCUCCUCACCCCCUGGUUAUUGAUGAGCCUGAGGGGUCAAAGGUUACAGAAACACCAACUGUGUGUGUAACUUUCACUUUCUCUCUCUCAGACCGACAUUUAUCUUCAGGACAGCGAGAAAAAAAAAAACCCACUCGCACUUUUUCCCAUGUGACUUUUACUUCCCUUCAUUCAGUGUCUGUUUCCACUUUUUUUUUUUCUCUCUCUUUUUGAAUCCGGACGCCGCCUCGGUGUUUUUGAAGGUUUUGGACGUUAAAUUUAACCUGCUGUAAAAUAAAAGUUAAAACACGAGAGCGACACAAGCUGAAAAUCAAAAUACAUGAAAAUAGAAGAAGAAGCAAAUCUGUUCUUAGGGCUACAACAAAAAGUAUUUUUUUUUAAACAACAUUUUCUAACUUUUAUCCUCCAGAAUUAUGUAAUAAAAAAAGAUUCUUUGUUUAAAGUUUUAUUUCUUAGUUUUAAUUAAGAAAUAAAACUUUGAACUAGAAAUCUACUUUUAUUUCAUAACUUUGAAGACAAAAAGUAGAUUUCUAGUUUAAAGUUUUAUUUCUUAGUUUUAAGUCAGAAUUCUCAAAAUUACGAGUUUUGAGUCGCUUUUUAGAAUUCAUAGUUAAAAUUUGGAAUUGUGACUUUUUCCCUCAGAAUUGAAACUUUAAAUUCAAAAUCUUUUGUCUUCAAAGUUCUGAAAUAAAAGUAAAUUCCUAUUUCAAAGUUUUGUUUCUUAAUUAUAAGUCUGAAUUCCCCAAAUCGGAGUUUUGAGUCACUUUUUAAAAUUCAUAGUUAAAAUUUUGAAUUGUGACUUGUUUCCUCAGAGUUAUGAAAUAAAAGAUUCUUUGUUUAAAGUUUGAUUUCUGUGUUCAAAGUCAAAAUUCUUCGUAUUUUGAGAUUUGAGUCACUUUUCAGUUCAGUUCAGUUUAUUUUUGAUCCCAAAAUGUUAUAAUUACACUUUUCAUUUCUUUUUCAUUUAAAUCAUUGGACCAAAAAUUUCACAAUUCGUUAUUAAAAUUUUGAAUCGUGACUUUUUUUCUUGGAAUUCUGACUGUUUCCUGAGAUUAAACUCAAUAUUUGACUUGAUGUCAGAAUUCAUUUUUCCAAUUUCUGACAUUUUUUGCCCAAAAUUAUGACUAAUGUUUCAAGAUUAAAGUUGGAAUUCUUAUUUCUGUGUUUUUACAUUUUCUUUUUCAAUAUUAUGACUUUUUAUCUUUGAAUUCUGACUCUUAACUUAUGUUUCAAGAUUAAAGUCAUCAUUUUGUCUUUCUUCCCUGAAAACUGACUUCACUUUGGAAAUCCAUACCUAGAGUCAGAAACCUAUGAAAGUGCAGAAAAAAGUUGAUUUUCAGAAUAAAAGCCUACUUUUGGAAUUUUCAGAAAAAAGGCAGAAUUUGAGUUAUUUUCUUUUGGAAUAUAGAAAAAGUUAAAAAAAAUUAUUUGAAAGUGCUUUAAUUUUUAUUAACAAAAAGAACUCUUAAAUCUGUUUUCAAAUUUUUCAGAAAAUAGUCGGAAUUUGAAUUUAGUUUUAGAAUUUUCUGAAAAAGUUGAAAAUUUGAAUCUGAAACUUUAAAUUCUAAGAAAAAAAAAGUCAAAGUUUGAAACAUUUCUUCCCUUUUCUUAUUUUCAGGGAGGGUGCUCUGAUCCUCUUCUAUGCUGAUGAUACUUUACAGGAGAUCGACAGUGAGCGUCAGGUUUGUAGAAAAAGUAAAAGUGUUGUAUUUAGACAAAUCCUUCUUUAUGGAUACUGAUGUCUUUUAACAAUGGAAAGUCCUUCUGACUGUGAUGAGAUGGUGGUUUAUGAGGACAAGAAUCUCCUGUGAUGCAAUAAAGGAUCAUAGUUUUUUAGUGUUUUAUCACGUUGUCUUAUAAACGUUAUAAAUGUUUAAUUGUUUUAAUAUUUCAUGUUUUCUUGUAUUUGUGCACAUCAUGAAGUUGGUCUUAACUCUGAUUCUCCACAUGUGCUCUCUGGAUUCUCUGAAAGAACAGAUAAAAAUAUCUCCUUUUUUUAAUAUUUCCCCUCAGAGUCUUUGUCAGAGCAGAGAAAUAUUAAACAAAGUAACUGGAUUUAAAGUGGAAAUGUCCUUCAGAGCAGAGAGGACCACAUUAUUGGUCUCUGCGUGCCUGUGGUCCGUCUCUUCUUCGUUCCCUCGAUCCCUUCAGCCCUUUAACUUUCAUCCACAAUCAUUUUAACUCAUUUUCCUCCAAAAUACUUGUGGCCUGACCGACAGAUUCCCCUCCUGACUAAAGACUACUACUGUGUGUACCAGCAUGUGUGUGUGUGUGUGUGUGUGUGUGUGUGUGUUAAAGUGUGUGUGUACGUGAAGCCGGUUAUUCAUUCCACAUAUGAAGACAAUUGAAUUAUAAUGAAGCCCAUUAUUAAGGCUUAGAGGAGCCUGAUGGCCCUGUGUUUCAGGGAUUAUUACCGCAUUCGUUAUGUGUGUGUGUGUGUGUGUGUGUGUGUGUGUGUGUGUGUGUGUGUGUGUGUGUGUGUGUGUGUAUCUGGAUUCACAGUAAAUACAAAAACAUUAAAGUGUCGGGCGGCAUUACUGUAAUCGCCGCUUUAGAUCUGAUUAGAUGCAGACGUCUCUGAGGGGAUUUUGGGAAGUAUACGAGGGAGGCUGACUAACGCCGUAUCGUUAUGAUUUCAGGGAAAUGAGCGGCGUUUGCUAGACGUGUUCAGCGCUAAUUUGUUCUCUUUUACCGCUGUCAUCACAUUGCGGUGAAUGAAGUGUGUGUGUUUAAACAGCUGGGUUUAGAGAGACGUCAAAGGGUCAACAAAAGGUUAAAAACCUGUUUACAGUGAAAGCUUUCAUCAUCUUGGGGUUAGUUUGAUGACUUUUUCACCAAGUUCAGGAUUUCCUUGUUCUUAUUUUUGUUUAUUUCAGACCUGUUGAGCAGCAGGACUCUUCUACUACGGAUCCACACUAUUGUCAUCCCUGCAGAGAAACAUCUUUGUAUACUUCUAAAACUUCUUAUACGACUUUAUUAGUCAAAUUUAGCUUCUAAGUGAUUUGAAAAAGAACUUUUUAUUUUGAACUCAUUCAGUGCCAAUGACGGAUUUUGACGGAUUUUUCAGUUUGUUUUUUGUUUUCCACCAGAGGGCGCUCCUCCCCAACGUACGACUAAGUUUGGGGUCGUUCUGAACGCAGAAAAGCCGUCAAAUACGUCAAAACCAUGUCACAAUAACAAAAACAAGGACUGGCCAGUGAAAGGUGUGACAAUUAGCCUUGUAGUGGAGUGUUUUCUCUCUGUGAGGAAAGUCGGAAAAUGCCGAAGUCAUUAGCCAAGAGCUAAUGGUCUCGGCGCAUCGGCUCCCUUGGGCGCGGUGCUACCGUCUCUUGAUCCAGUGGAGUUCCCGGUACCGGACCUUCGCAUCAUCAACAGACAUUUAAAGAAACAAUUUCCCGGCGUGUCGUUGUGUCGCCGUUGAGCGAGACUGAGCCGGAAUCCAGCGACAGUCCCGGCGAGGAGGACGCGAGUGUUCCAUGUGGUUUACGUUGAGGCGUUAGGUUCUAGAGAGCCAAUACGACUCCCAGCCGUCACAAAGUGAUCUAUCACGAUCUAAAGAGUGAUGAGGAGUGGUGUCCGAGGAAGGAGGACCUUGAUGCCGCCUGUAAAGUAGUUUGAAGUGAAAUGAAAAAGACGAUCAGAGUUUGGCUUGAAAGUCUCUCCUUUGUAAUAAUGUGUUUUUCCCAGAUCGGCAAAGAUGAUAUGACCAUGCUGCAUUGAGCAGGCAAUAACUAAACACAGGAGUGGGUUAGAGACUAACUUUUUUUUCUGGUGAAAGAAAAGAAUCACACCUUUCUUUUGAGAUAUUGCAAUUAAUUCUAGUCCGAGCACAAGAUAUUCUGCAGGUCCUGAAAGAUACAGAAAUUUCUAUUGCGGUCGAUGGUGGCACUGGGUGAAAAUUGCCCAAAUUUACCUGGGACUGAAUGAAUUAAAAAUAUGUUGGAUUUUCCUCAGAAAGUGUUUAAUUUUAAUGAGAAAACUUAAAAAUUAAUUUCUGAUUUUCUUCGUUUAUAUUUCCCGAUAAAAACGACUUCGUGUUUUGACGAUAAAUCUGAUUUUUCAACAUCUAAUGAGUUUAAACUUUUCAACCACAGCUGAUGAAACAACAAGAGUUCAAGGAACUUAAACAUUAAAAGAUGAGUAAAGAAUGCACAAACACACACACACACUAACACACUCUUACACACACUAACACACUCUUACACACACUAACACACACACACUCAUGGCGUUGAGUCAUCGAGCCCAGAUGUCUUUAUUCACCUCCGUACAACAGAACGACUGUUGAAGUCAGACGCGAACGCUCGUAAAACAUGAUUUCACUCAAACACACACUCAUACCAGGCACCAAUUAACCCUCACACACACACACACACACGUGAACACACACACGCACAUGUUGGCGUUAUGCUGACCUCCUGAACUGUGUUUUCUAGCUGACGGCGGUGUGUAUCAUCAUGGGAAACUGAUGCUACAUGUGUUAUCUAUAAACUCGCUGAUUAACAACAGAGUGUGUGUUUGUUAGAGGGCGAACGAGUGUGUUAGUGUGCGUUUAAAUCCACGUUACACACACACUAACACACACACUAUGACAGACUCAUAGUUUGGGGAUGUAUGUAUCGCCUCGUUGGCACCGAACGGUGAGAAAGUUCACAGAUCAGAAACCGCAAGACGUUUUAUGGAGAGGCGGCGUGUCGAAGGCCCGUCUGAGGUCAGAAGUCGUAUAUUUAUACACAUAUAUGGUAAAUACUAAAACCGUAGAGAAAAAGUAUCACCAAGACAGAGAAGAAGAUUUGUCGGUAAAAACCAUAAUCCUUGAACCCGCUCUGCUGCCACUAGCUUAACUGAAACUGCAGAUAAAAUCAUGAAACUCCAAAAACACGACUUUGUGGCCUUAAACGUGGAUCAAAAGCAGACAGAGGAGGAAUAACAUGAGUCAAAAAAGAGAGAAAAAUCAGAGGGAAUCAUUAAACGUCUCUAAACACGUCCCUGUCAUCUCGUUUUCGAUCUCCGUCAUCGUCGAUCGUCUGGUCCGUACGAGAGGAAACCACAGCACACAGACCCGGCUCUCUGUCAGGCUCUUUGACGUCGUAUUUGCUUCUCCACGCCUCAUUUGUUUCUGUCAUUUAUCACAUCAUUUUGUCAUUAAAAACAUGCAACUUCUGCCUUUUCUGUCCUCCCAGAAUCGCCCUCACAGCUUCUUCAUCAGAGCGACGAUCCGUCACGUCAAACUUGUUGCUUUCAUCCCUCCGUUUAGUUGCGUCAAAGUAUGUGGCGGCGACCGCCGAGAAGGGUGGAUCGGGGUCCGUCUGUCUCUCUGUCUCUAAAACAAAGAGAUUUUCAUAAUUCGAAACAUUCGCAGAGUCUACCAGUAGCAGAAGAGGCAAGAGUCACCGGGAACCUUCAACUCUUUAUGAAGGACUCGCUCAGAGGCUGCAGACUGGGACAAGACCAGCAGUCCGGUUUGAUCGGAUCUGAGUUCAGGGGCAGCAUCGGUGAGAAAAAUAGUAGGUGCGGCUGAAGGUUUGGAAAGCAGAGCCCUGUUGGGGGGUUCGGAUCUUGACCUACAAAGACAAAUUGGGUGGGGAAACUGUAUUUUAACUUAUUUUUAGGUCAUUAUAGCCGACGCCCAGCCUACCUACAUUUAGUGUAACACUAUGAUAUAGAAACCGACUGUAGCGUACUCGUCUACAUUCACCUGCAUCUUUUGUCGCGAUUAUUUUGCAGGGGAAACAAAAAAAAACGGCCUUACUCUUUGGACUUCCAGUUAGCCAUACUUUGCGCCUGUACCAUGCUCUUGAAAAUGUCCACGUAUAUAUUGUCUGCUCUUCUCUUCUCGGUGGUCACUCGCUGAGCAGCGGCAUCUGGUCAAUCCGGACCGAGCUCUUUCAGCUUUAGUUAGUCCUGCAGAGUUCUCCUCUCGAACGGGACCUACUUGAUGGAAAGCGCAGCGGUAGAUCUCUCGGUAGGGGGUUUGCGGUAGCUAUUCCUACUUCAUCUGUCAUUGGCAACCAAGUGCAGAGUGAGGGGCGGACUGGCUCCGAGUAGAGCAGCUAGCUAUGUCAGAGGCAUAUUGUAGCUAUGCUUCCAUUUGUGACCAAUCUGGUUAUAAACGUGCUUACAUUAUCCAAAUUAGGGACGUUUGGGCACUGGUCCCUGGCACCCCUUAACGAUUUUUUUCAUUUGGCUAGGAUAAGCUAACUUUUUAGUGCAGAGCUGUGAUCUAAGCAUGUGUGAGAGUGCAGAAACCUUGGGCGCUGGCCAGUGGCGCCCCUGACGUAAAUGCACAACUGUGAUCUGAGUAUGCGUGAGACAACAGACGAUUCCGAUUCCGCCCCGAUACUGGGUGGAGAGAUCGCUAACGGACUGAAAUACACAGUUAAUGGAAGGAUUAAUAUAAAAGCAUGAUUUCCUUAUCUUGAUUCUUAUUUUCAGGUAGACAGCAGACAUCUCCCCCCGCAGUGCCCUCAUAUACCGGCCGCUGCUGGGUCGCACUAAAAUCCGAACCCUUCUGAAACCUCGACCCAGAUGGAAACAGAGCUGGUCUGAUGAUCCAUCUUCAUGUUCUCGCAUUUUCCACUCAGGACUCUCUGGGCUUGCGACACGCUUUGUUGUUUCAUAUCGAGGACUUGCCAACUAAGAGGGUCAGCCAAGAGACCCCCACAUGAACCAGGACACACCGGGAAGGUUCGAGAAAGAAAGUCUACGACAAUGACAAGAUUCAUGUCCUCGUUAGUGGAGUUUAGCCGCCCCCCCCUGAGGCAAACUCAGGGGUUUCAAACCCACAACCUAGCAGUCCACCAGAGCAGUUUUCUAUAAAACCCCGAUCCGAGCCGUCCUCUCUGUCAGACACAAAGCCGCUGCUGGAAACACAAAGAUCUGAUCAAAUGAAGACCUAAUUAAGUUGUCGCACACUAACCCCGUGGAGCAGCAGAGAGAAACCCACAUCCUAGUUUUUACCCAGAAGUCUCCCCGCAAGUCCCGAUCCAGAAAAUUUGGCGAGGAGGGGGGGGGGGCGCCACUUUGUACUUAAUUAGUUCAAGGAAUCUGCAUGAAAUCCUGCGCUGUUUAACCACUGUGCUGAGUCACUGACCCCGGAUCCUGUGGGCAUCAAAGACGGCACAGAUAGUCCUCCUCUUCUUCUAAAUCCGUCUCAGGUCUGCGACGGCUCACAAACGUCCCUGUUUCUGUUUUCAGACACAAACUCGCCAAAUUAAUCCACAGAGUCUGAACUGGCGCUCUUAAAUCCACCGGAGGAAAUAGUUCAUUAGCAGCCGAGUUCAGAUCCAAAACAGAGAGUACCGUGUGAGUAAAACCGAACCGCUGACCACAUCUGUGGCGGCGUUGGCGUUUCAUCUCAUUUCCUGCUUUUCUUUGCUCCUCUCUUGUUUUGCUCUUGUUGUUCUCGGCUCUGCCAAGUCUGUUUUAAUGUUUACUCCGAACCGUUAGGUCUGCAGAUGCCCCGCUGCUCCACACACAGAUUGUAUUUAGUUGUUGAUGAUAAUGAAAUUAGCCGGGCUAAUCGCUGGAGCCUGUGAUUGCGUAAAACGAAAGCUUUACCGACCUGUUCGUAUUAUUUUAAUAGAAACCAUCGAGGUGAUCGUCUUUUUCCACCGUUCAAACAUCCGACCCAGACCGACGAUUUCUCUAAUUCAAUACAAACGGGUUUCUGCUUUGAAGAAUCGAGUGUUCCCCGCAGGUGACCUCAGGUAUGCAGAUCCAAAUCAGAACCGAGUGCUAAAAAUGAGCUAGCUUAAACUGACGAUGCGUCUGCGUUCACUUACGUUUCUAAGACUUUAAAGGGACAUUCCGGGGUCAAACACACCGUAACGCUAAGUUAGAGCCCCCCUUGAGCGAUGAAUGUUGCCGCCACCAAACAUCUUUUAAACUUUGACUCAUUUCUUUAGCAAAAUGACCAAACACAACUCACCCACUCUCUUCCAGCAGCCACUUGUUUGUAGAGAAACCUCGACCAGUCCAUUACGGACUCCAGCGGGGUUUCGCAGCUCAAGGAAGAACAUUUAUGAUCAUUACUUUAUCAUUUCCUUGAAGUAAUAAUCAUCAUAUUAAUCAUUUUACAGACACGGUAGUUCUUCUGUCUUAGUGUCUUGUCUGAUUGCAAAGAAUAACAAGAAAUUAAAAAAACAACACCGACCAAGACAAGAACGAGAGACAAAAACAAAUCCAAAACAAACAAAGUAUCAGUCACAGCUGUUUAAAAUGAAUGGUAAGGAAUGUUGUCGCUUGGUUGUGUGGAUGAGAACAAUGUAUGUUACAUUAAUUAUGUAAAAUAAAAAUUAUAAUAAUAAUAAUAAAGAAAAACCAAUAAGAAGUUGAACCCGAAAGAAAAUAGGAUAAAAUAACAACAACAACAAAAAUAAUAAUAAUAAUAAUAAUAAUAGGUCUGAUUGUAUUUCCAUGAAGAAAUGAUCAUAAAUGUUCUUCCUUGAGCUGCGAAACCCCGCUGUAGUCCGUAAUGGACUGGCCUGAGCUUUCUCUUCAAACAAGCGGCUGCUGGAAGAGAGUAGGUGAGUUGUGUUUAGAAAAUGAGUCAAAGUUAAAAAGAUGUUUGGUGUCUAGUACUAUGUCUGUGACCCUAUAUGUCCUGUUGAUGAAGUUAGGUGCUGUUCUGAGCAUUAUUUGUGGCUAUAGAGUGGCGUUUUGGUUGAGCGCGUGGCUCACCGUUUUGCAAUCGUGCGGUCGUUACUAAAGUUGGUAUAACUAGAGAAGCAAGCAGUCGACAACAUUCAUCUCUGGACGGGGUGUCUAACUCAGUGUUACGGUGUGUUUGACUCUAAAUCAAUUUUACGCCGGAAUAUCCCUUUAAGGUGACAGCAUCUAGUUCUCAAACUCGAGGCUUGAAGAGGUUAAAAAGUCACUCGACAUAUUUUGCUCAUGAACCGUUUCUACCGACAGCUGAAUUCGUCAGGUUUCAUCCUCUCGUUUGUUUUGGCGGUGACUUCCUCUAAGUUCCUGUCUCUGUUUUUGUUUCGGAGCUAAAAAUAAAAAAAGUACCAAAGAAGAGGUCAGAGGAAAGUUUCGGGCUCCUGAGCUGCUGUUUCUGCAGAGGUCUGACUCUGCUGCCUGUAAACCUGUGAGCGUGAGCUGAGUCAGUCCGGAGGACGUGAUGAUACCAAAGCUUGAUGACCUCGUAUGAGGCCGAACGCCGAGUUUGGGGUCACCGCAGGGACGCUGACGUCUGAGUAACGAAUCAUCAGCGACUCGUUUUUUCCUCUCCUACUCUUUUAUUCUCAGAAGUGAAUCCGUUUCAGUUUUAUGCCUCACAUCUUGACUUUGUUUUGAGACAUUUCUUCUUUUUAUUAUAUUUCUGGAUUCGGUCUUUGUUUACAAAUAUGUUUAUUUGUUCUGUUCAUGUUCCCGGAGUUAUUAGAAAAAGACCCAGAACUGUUUGUUCUGGUCUUAAUGGAAGUGCUGUGCUCUCUCUGAUUCAAUAUUUAAAAGAACAGUAUAUUACUGUCUGUAUUUAGUGUACGAUUGGAUGAAGUCGGAGAUACUUGAUGAAAACUUCUCAGUAGUUGAAGGACCAACCUGAGGAUCUCCGUCUUUGAAACUGUCUUCUGUACAUUUUUGACCCGUCUGAGUCUUCGUUCUUCAUCCACUAGAACUCUUAAGAACUUGACCUGGUGGUUUUGAGAAACUUCUAUGUAUCUCUGAGUACUCUGGAUUUAUCUUUUGCGUAUUUUCUGGUUUUUGUUCGAGAAUAUCGUGAAAUUUGACGUUUUUAUCUUAAAGUUAUGGUUGACGAUUGUAGAGAUUGGUAAUUAUUAUGAACCUCGUUUCUAUGGCGAUCAUGGUCCAAUCAUGCGAUCUCCACAAAGUGAAGAAGAAAAAAGAACGGAAAAAAUCUGUUCAUCCUAUCAGGCGCAGGGCUGCAAAAUCAUUGACCAAUAGGAGCCAUUCGUCCCGGACAGCUCCUAUUGGUCAAUCUCCUGCUCCGCCUCUUCAUCCAAUCACCUCGCUGUAUUCGACACACCCCUCUCCCGUAGAUCCGACUCGUCCCCUCCCACUCUCCGGGCGCCAAUUUUUUUUUUGCAGGCUAGUAGGGCAAGGUCCCGCCCUCCUUCGCCUCUGAUUGGCUAGAAGUGCUGGGCUCAGAUUGGUCCGAUUGGUUGCGAUAAUGUUCUGUUUGAUGUACAGAGCCAACAGCCCGCAUUUGGCUUGAGCAUGUGAUGACAUUUCCAGCUUUUCUACACUCUGUUUUUUUAUUGUUAAUUAAUUUUCCAAACAUUUCAAAGCAGAAAAACUUAUUUUUUUGUAAUUUUGCAAUAAUAUCUAGUUUUUUUUAUUGUCUAGGUUUGCAGAUAUUUUAUAAACAUUUGUCGUCCAUCCAUCACAGAUCCCUUCUUUCUUCUUCUCUUGUUCACUUCCUGCGUCCCGCUAAGCCUCCUAAAUCCUUAGCUAAACACUUCAGCUGUGAAAGGUCGUUCCAGGGUCAGGGGAAACUGAAAAAUUCGUGGACUAGCAGAACUCACAUCAUCAUCAUCACACACUCACACACACACUCACACACACACACACACACACUCACACAAUCUGGGUCGGGCUGACAGUCACACACUCACACUGUCAGCUGGUGGGCUAAGUGAGGUGAGCGUGUUUAGAUAAAGUGUUAAAAGCUCAGACGGACAGAGCCGAGGAAUGUAAAGAUAAGACGUUUGUGCUUACACAAAGACACACACACACACACACACACACACUCGCGGCGCGGCGCACACCAGAGUGGUAAUUAUCUAACUUACACACAUAAUGGUGUUAAUGGGCUAAGCGGCGACAAAUCUUCCUGUUCCUGACCUUGGGUGGGAAACGCCGCAAGUUUGGCACAUUACACAAGAGGUCACGACCUUGUAGUGGAAGGAUGGAUUCGCGCCGAGCUCCCGGUAAAGCUCUGAGAUUUUGGCGAAGCGGCGUGAGCUCCCUGAACCUUCGCUGAACCGGGAUUGAUCCGAUUGCGGUGAAGUAAUGACUCUCUUGUGAAUCAGAGCGGCAGGACUACAUGACUCAACCGAACCAGAUCUGCUGGAUCAGAGGGACUUCCUAGUUUAUGAGAAUAUCCUGAGAACCUUUAGAGGGGCCUGACCCUGAAGAUGGGACUGACCGGACUGGGGUCUGGACCAGCUACAGGACUUUAAUGCGUCUUCUGUUUCAGCAGCAUUUCUGACUGUGAUUAUGGUUUCCUUCACGCCGCCGGCCGUGUCGAUUACAUCACUGUUGUCCCCGUAAUGACUGUAAAGAAUGUCUGCGAGGGAAUUAGUGAUAUAAUGUACGAACUCGAGCGUCCAAUCAGCACAGUCCUGGAUGGCAUGUGGUUCAAGGAUGUGAGACUUUAGUUUGAGUAUCUGAUGGAAGGAUUUCUCUGAUUUUUGUUGGUCUUUGUCUCUACCUUUUUGUCACUUCCACUUUUGAUUCUGUCAGGGGUGCCGCAGCUCAAGGAAGAACAUUUAUGAUCAUUUCUUUUUGGAAAUACAAUCAGACCGAGACACUAAGACAGAAGAACUACGGCGUCUGCAGAGCAAAAUGAUAAAUAUGGUGAUUAUUACUUCAAGGAAAUGAUAAAGAAAUGAUCAUAAAUGUUCUUCCUUGAGCUGCGAAACCCCGCCGUAAUCCGUAAUGGAUUCCGUGGCUCUCUGUAUUUCUAUCCUGCGGUCGUUACUAAAGUUGGUAUAACUAGAGAAUCAAGCGGUCGUCAACAUUCAUCUCUGAAGGGGGUGUCUAACUCGGUGUUACGGUGAGUUUGACCCUAAAUAAAUUUUACGGAAUAUCCCUUUAAUUCCUUUAUUGUGAAAUGAAACGAUGAAACAGCGCUCUCCGUGGUGCUGGCACUCACUCUUCUCUCACCUUUAAUUUACUCUCUUUAAAUUCUGAAUUAUUUGGAUAAAAUUUGAAUGUUGGGCCUCAAUGUCGUACUAUAAACUAUAAACUAUAUAAAUAUAUAUAAAUAUAUAUAUAUAAACGCAGCUUCGGUAAAACUGCAAACUCAUCACGCACGGCUCCACCUUCCCAAUAAUCUGCGAGUCUUGUUUUGAAAACAGGAUGUUCUGUGUAUGAAUGUGCUGGAUUGUAGCUUAAGGCUGUUUUGCUGCAGGAUUUACAUACAUUAGAUUACAGUCGUUCCCCGUACGGUAAUCCGCGGGUCAGCUGCAUGUUUGCUGAGGUCGAACAUACUUCAUGCAUAAAACAUGGAUCAUGCAUUUUGUAGGUUGAACAGUUUGGGCUGCAUGUGCCGUGAAUGAAAAUAGAUAUAAGUGAAGUUUGAUGAUCUCUUUAGAGUGUCGAUGUUGAAUGAAGACGUCAGUAAAUCAAGUCGAAUGUUAGAAGAUUCAGGUCAUAGAGUUACGAGAACAAAGUUAUUAAAAAAAAAGGAAUGAAGUUAAAAUAUUAUGAAAUUAAAAAUGUGAUCAAUUUGUUUUUUUUUUUAGAUCAAAAUUUUUUUAAAGAUACAGUGGGGAUCUUUUAGGGUGUUUCAGUUUUGGCGCCCCCUGUGGACAAAGCUGUCUUUGCUUGUUUUGUCCUUGACAAUUUUUUGUUAUGAAUCUCAUCCUGCUAAUUUUAAACACUAAAACUGAACAUUUUUGAAAAUAUUUUGUGUAGAAAUUAAAAAAUUUCCAGUGUCUUUUGCCUCAGCUGAUCGUCUGACCUCCUUAAAUCAGUUUGAGGCGUUAAAAGACGGGAAUAAAAAUCAUGUCUCAUUGCUGACAGUCUAAUUUUCUGUUGAAUGUCAUGGAAGUGAAGUCAAUUUUUUUUAGAUCAAAAAUUUCUUAAAGCUCCAGUGAGGAAUUUUUCGUUUGUCUCAGUUUUGGCGCCCCCUGUGGACAAAGCUGUCUUCGCUUAUUUUGUCCUCUAAAUGCUUCAGUAAUGAAUCUCAUCCUGCUGAUUUUUAACACUGAAACUGAAGAUUUUUUUAAAAAAUUUGUGUCGAAAUAAAAAAAUUUCCAGUUUCUGUUUCUUUAAUUGAUCGUCUGACCUCCUCUAAUCAGUUUGAGGCGUUAAAAGUCGGAAAUAAAAGUCAUGUCUCAUUGCUGACGGUCUAAUUAUCUGUUUGAGGUCAUAAAAGUGAAGUUAUAUUUUUUAGAUCAAAAACAUCUUAAAGCUCCAGUUAGGAACUUUUAGUUUGUCUCGUUUUUGGCGCCCCCUGUGGACAAAGCUGUCUUCGCUUAUUUUGUCCUUUUAAAUGCAUGAGUAAUGAAUUCCACCCUGCUGAUUUUAAACACUGUAAUUCAUCAUUUAUUUAAAUAUUUUUGGGAAAACUGUAAAAAAAGUUCAACUUCCGUUUCUUUAGCCGAUCAUCCAACCCUCUUGAAUCAGUUUGAGGCGUAAAAAGAUGAAAAUAAAAAUCGUGUCUCAGUCUGAUUUUUCUGUUGGAUGUCAUGGAAGUGAAACCAGUCUAAUUCAUCAACGUGAAAAAACUUCUCACAGGAGCUUUAAAAUUCCUCCAAAAUGAGUCAGUAAAACAUUUCAGACACUUUUACAGGAAUUUACUGUUUUUUUAAGACCUUGAAUGAGUGUAAAAGUUUCACAGUAAGUAAAACUAAUGCAUCAUUUUUCUAAUUAAACAGUCCGUCUAAUUCAUGACCGUUAACAAACUUCUCACAGGAGCUUUAAAAUUCCUCCAAAAUUAGUUUCAGACACUUUUACAGGAAUUUACAGUUUUUUUUAAGACCUCGAAUGAAUUCAAAAGGUUUUUUUUUACAGUGUUUAAAGUUGUGGGAUUUUCUUCUGUAUCAUCAUUUUUUAAAAUCAGGAUAAAGUUUAUUUACUCCUGGAAGAACUGUAAAAGUUAGAAACUCGAACAUCUACAGUUUCUGCCGCAGCAUUGAGCAACUUCUCCUCAUGAGGGAGGUCAUGUGAUCCGACAAACAGAUCCACAGCAGCCGUUAAACGGAUCCUGCGGUUACAGAUUUUUGGGAUUUUGCAGAGUUUGAGAUUCUCUAAAAGCAAGACACCAAGAGAGAGACAGAGAGAGUGAGAUGAAGUUAAUUUAGUUAAACCCUAAAUGAUGUUUUUCUCUUCUUCAAACUGGAGUUUUCUGAGUAAAUGAGCCGACAAAUGAACUUUUGGUCUGUGCGCUCGUGUCUCGUGUCGCGUCUGUAAAGAAUGAAAAGUCAAUUAAACGUAAACUUUGAGGACGUUUAUAAAGGAAGGACAAAAACCUGCACACAAUUUACUCCAACAAAGCAGAAAAUCAAAACAAUGCCGUCUCCUGUUCCUCCUCUCCUCUGAUCUUCCCUCUUUUUCUUCUUCUUCUUCUUCCUUUUCUCUCCGGCUGUCAUGAGUUUCUGCUCCGCUAGGCGGCAGCAUUGAGCCGCUUUCAGGAGAAGAAGCAGAGAGGGGAAAGAGGGAGAGAAACAGAGAGAAAAAAGACGGUCAGAGGUCUUAAAAGAGGGAGAGAUUUAUACAGAGAGAAGAAAGGAGGGAUGAGAAAUAAGAGAGGAGCUGAAAAACGAGGGAAAAUGAAGGAAAGAGAGACGAUCCGAAAACAGGUGAACUUCUGUCUGACCUCUACAGGUGUGUGUUUGUGUAACUGUGUGUAACUGUGUGUGUGUUUGUGUGUCUUUCAGGGUCUCCUCUCUUAUAUAACGGACCCCUAAUAUUCCUGAUCAACAGUCUGAGGACCUAAUUGAAGCCAGUCAUUUUCUUUGGCGCUGCGGUGAACCCGACUUCCCCCGCCGCCUGAGACUCAUUGAUCCGAUUGUUUCCUGAGGACUUAGAGAAGGAAGCGAGGCGAGGACACGGGGAAGGACACGUGGACCGGGACCGUGGAGACCUUUGAGGUUCGAGGACGGGAGGAGAGAGGGAUGGAGAAGAAGAAGAAAAGAGAGAUGGAGAGAUGUAUGAACUUCUUUUUAAAGAAAGACAAAAACAAUGGAAUAAAAGACAAAUAUUCAGACAGAUGUACGAAAAAUGAGGAAAAAGAAGGAAAAAAAGGAAAGACGGACUCAAAAAAGAAGAAAAUAAAAAGACA